rnacentral:rRNA from 1 species
GUUGUAUGGUUAAGUGACUAAGCGUACACGGUGGAUGCCUUGGCAGUCAGAGGCGAUGAAAGGCGUAAUAACUUGCGAUAAGCCCAGAUUAGGUAGUAAUAACCUUUUGAGUCUGGGAUUCCUGAAUGGGGAAACCCACUUGCAUAAGCAAGUAUCCUGUUGUGAAUACAUAGCAACAGGAGGCAAACCGGGGGAACUGAAACAUCUAAGUACCCCGAGGAAGAGAAAUCAACCGAGAUUCCGAAAGUAGCGGCGAGCGAAAUUGGAUUAGCCCUUAAGCUUUUAAUGAGACAGAUGAAGGCUCUGGAAAGUGCCGCAAUAAAGGGUGAUAGCCCCGUAAUCGACAUCUCAUAAUCAGUGAAAACGAGUAGGGCGGGACACGUGAUAUCCUGUCUGAAUAUGGGGGGACCAUCCUCCAAGGCUAAAUACUACUGACUGACCGAUAGUGAACCAGUACCGUGAGGGAAAGGCGAAAAGAACCCCUGUGAGGGGAGUGAAAUAGAACCUGAAACCGUGUACGUACAAGCAGUAGGAGCACCUUCGUGGUGUGACUGCGUACCUUUUGUAUAAUGGGUCAGCGACUUAAUUUUAGUAGCAAGGUUAACCGUUUAGGGGAGCCGUAGGGAAACCGAGUCUUAACUGGGCGUACAGUUGCUAGGAUUAGACCCGAAACCAGGU